ensembl:lncRNA ITGA6-AS1 ITGA6 antisense RNA 1
ACUUUUGGCUGAUGAAUACAAGAUACGCUCAUUCAUUCUCUUCAUUGCUAUGAAAUGAGUUUUUCCACAACCUCCUGCAGAACCUCAACACAUCACUAGGUGGCAACAUCCCUACACCAUAUCGGUUUAGAAACCACGGUUAGGAGGAGCAGCAAAACACGCGGCAUCCCAGUAUGAUUCAGAAGUAAAUACAGGCAAGCUGCCGGAGUGAACGCUGAGUGAGGGAAAGGAACGCACCAUCGUUAUCAAACUCGAUCCGCGUGCAUGGCCCCCGGGCGGUGAUGUCGCAGCUGUACAGCCCUCCCGUUCUGUUGGCUCUCUGCAGUGGAAGCGCUUCUGCCCGCGGGGCCCCCACGAGCAACCUGUUGAUGAAACAGAGACAAUUUGGAGAUUUGAAUUUAAUAUACGUUUAACAGUUAAAUCAGUCAGAACUAGGAGAUAGUGGGAUUAUUCUUUGUCUAGGAGUCCACUAAUUCUUCAACAGCUUAGGCAGUGAGUGAGAACAAAUGUAGAGUCCUAUGGCUGGUUCAUGCAAAACGCACAAACACAACUAAACAGGGGAAGCCAAAGAGGGGAUACCAAAACGAGGAAAAUAGGCCUGUCUCUCAUAGUAUCAGCAUUUCUUGCUGGGUAUGAUCUGGUGUUUAAAAGACACCCUCUUCAAAGAAUACAACCUCUAAGCCCCUAUGAUGCCAGGGAUAUCAUAUGAAACUCAAGAGAAGAAACCAAAUACUUGUGACAAUGGAAGGAAAAA